ACUCAGAAGCUGCCUUGAAGAAAGGGUCUACCCAGCAUGGGUUGCUUAGACUCAGUGGUGUGCUGGAGCAGGCUCCUACCAGCUAGAAAGAACCAGUUCAAUACGUCUCUUCUCAACUCCAUGUUCAGAGUUGUCAGAGAACCAAUUGUUAAAUAUUUACUGGCACUCCACUGCUUAGAUUUUACCAGUGCUUGCAGUGCUAACCAGGAGCUCAUCCCUGGAGGAGAGGCAGAGAAUGUGUACUCCCAGAUGCAGCCAGCUUCCAGAAGAAGAGGUAGGAGCCAAGCAGAGCAUGCCCACAUCAAUCUUCCAGCAUUUAAUGGCCAUAGAAGUUACUGAACCUCCCUUGGAUGGAUAGAAGAUGGCAUUAUCUUUCUUAAAUAUGAUACCUCUUAUCUUUUUGUUCCCUUGACACUUGAGGAGGGAGGCCAAGGGUUGAUCAUGCAAGCAAGUUUGUGCAUUUUGCACAUUUAUUAAGUUAUGCUUUUGAGGAAAUUAAAAGAUCACAAGGGCUU
rnacentral:lncRNA from 1 species